rnacentral:rRNA from 1 species
UUAGAUUUUGAUUCUGGCUCCAGGAUGAACGCUAGCUACAGGCCUAACACAUGCAAGUUCGAGGGGCAGCAAUGUCGGUAGCUUGCUACCGGCGAUGGCGACCGGCGAAUGGGUGAGUCACGCGUGUCCAACCUGCCCCCGUGCCCGGGCACAGCCCUUGGAAAUGAGGAUUAACGCCCGAUAUGUGCCGUUUCCGCAUGGCGGCGGCAUGAAACGAGACACGGGAUGGGGACGCGUCGGAUUAGCUUGACGGCGGGGCGACGGCCCACCGUGGCGACGAUCCGCAGGGGUUCUGAGAGGAAGGUCCCCCACACUGGCACUGAGACACGGGCCAGACUCCUACGGGAGGCAGCAGUGGGGAAUAUUGCACAAUGGAGGAAACUCUGAUGCAGCGACGCCGCGUGAGCGAUGAAGUAUUUCGGUAUGUAAAGCUCUAUCAGCAGGGAAGAUAAUGACGGUACCUGAGUAAGAAGCUCCGGCUAAAUACGUGCCAGCAGCCGCGGUAAUACGUAUGGAGCAAGCGUUAUCCGGAUUUACUGGGUGUAAAGGGAGUGUAGGCGGCUUUGCAAGUCAGAUGUGAAAGCCCGGGGCUCAACCCCGGGACUGCAUUUGAAACUGUGAAGCUGGAGUGUCGGAGAGGUAAGUGGAAUUCCUAGUGUAGCGGUGAAAUGCGUAGAUAUUAGGAAGAACACCAGUGGCGAAGGCGGCUUACUGGACGAUUACUGACGCUGAGGCUCGAAAGCGUGGGGAGCAAACAGGAUUAGAUACCCUGGUAGUCCACGCUGUAAACGAUGAAUGCUAGGUGUUGGGGCCCNAUAGGGCUUCGGUGCCGCAGCUAACGCAAUAAG